GAUGAACGCUGGCGGCGUGCCUAAUACAUGCAAGUCGAGCGAACAGAUGAGGAGCUUGCUCCUCUGACGUUAGCGGCGGACGGGUGAGUAACACGUGGAUAACCUACCUAUAAGACUGGGAAAACUUCGGGAAACCGGAGCUAAUACGGGAUAAUAUAUUGAACCGCAUGGUUCAAUAGUGAAAGACGGUUUUGCUGUCACUUAUAGAUGGAUCCGCGCCGCAUUAGCUAGUUGGUAAGGUAACGGCUUACCAAGGCAACGAUGCGUAGCCGACCUGAGAGGGUGAUCGGCCACACUGGAACUGAGACGCGGUCCAGACUCCUACGGGAGGCAGCAGUAGGGAAUCUUCCGCAAUGGGCGGAAGCCUGACGGAGCAGCGCCGCGUGAGUGAUGAAGGUCUUCGGAUCGUAAAGCUCUGUUAUUAGGGAAGAACAAAUUUGUAAGUAACUAUGCACGUCUUGACGGUACCUAAUCAGAAAGCCACGGCUAACUACGUG
rnacentral:rRNA from 1 species